rnacentral:lncRNA from 10 species
GGCCCGUCUCGUCCGCGAAACUGAGGUGUCAUGAAGAGGUACAACAGGGAAGAGGGCAAUCAUGGUCCCUGCCUUAGUGGAUCUUACGGCAUCUUGGGGGCACAGAUAAUAAACACCUGAAUCUGAAAAUUAUCCUUUGAGGAAGGCUGAGCAAGAAUUAAUUCCCCCAUUUUACAGAGGUCCUGCUAUGGUCCUGCUAUGUUACCCAAGGUGGUCUUGAACUCCUGGCCUCAAGCCAUCCUCCUGCCUCGGCCUCCCAAAGUGCCAAGAUUAUAGGCAUGAGCCACUGCACACCCAGCCUGCCGUGUGACAUCUGAGGCUAGAUUAUAAGAAUGCUAUGAGCUUCCACCUGGCUUUCAUGGACAGGAUGCUAACUCUUGGAACUCACCUGCCAUGUCGUGAGGAAGUCCAAAUCAUCCCACAUGGAGAGGCCUGUGAAGGUGCUCUAGCUCACAGCCCAGCUGAGGUCCUGGCUGACAGCCUGCAUCAUCUGCCAGGUAUGAGUGAAGAUGCUUCCAGAUGAUUCUAGCUCCCACUCUCAACUUGGAUUCUUCCCAGCAGAGGCUCCAGAAAUCAUAGAGCAGAGAUCGCCUCUCCCUACUCUGCUUUGUCCAAGUUCUGGGCUAUAAAAUCUAUGAGCAUGGUAGCAUGAUUGUUUUACACCAGAAAGUUUUGGGGUAGUUUGUGACAUAGCAACUGGUACAGAAAUUAUUUGCUAACAAGCAGGCAUCUCUCUCAAGGGGGAAAGUCUUCUGGUUAUCUUUGCACCCUUUUCUGGGGCAAAUAUGAUUGGUAGGGAUGAUGCCCAUCAUAGCACCAUUGCUUCAUCAGAGGCCGUUUGGAUCAAUGAGCCCUUCCGUGUUCUUUAGUCACAAUAUGUUAAUAUAUCUUACUUGUCCAUUUCCCACUGACUAGAAUAUCAGUUCCCUAUGAUAAGUUUUUUCCCCUAUUUUGUUUGUUCCUAUAUCCCCCAAACCCAAACUAGUACAGGUGCUCCUCACCUUAUGAUGGGGUUACCUCCCAAUAAACCCGCCAUAAAGUUGAAAAAUCCUAAGUUGAACCAUCUUAAGUUGAGGACCAUCUGUGCUUGGUAGUUGCUCAAUAAAUAAUUGUUGCAAUAAAAAAUUGUCGGAUGAAUGGUUAUGAAACAAACAUCUAGUGGGCAAAAGUUUUGAUACUGAUUUCUGGAGAGAAUUUUGCUAACAUUACCAUGUUCUAGUUGUUAUGAUAAUGUAAAAUUACUUUCUGGAUAAGGACAAGUUCACAUUGUGGUGGUAAUUUCUGGAGAAUAAUUGUUAAACGUUCCCACUUUUUCUUGAAAUAACACAAAAGAAUCAUUAGGAAAGGUAUAAUGAGUGUUAGGGACACGUCAGGUCCAUACUCAGGAGCUUGUUCAAGGAAUUGGUACCUGGACACUCUCUAAAAGGAUUUGAUAUCAGUCAACAAGGAAGAAGUGAUUCGAGUAAACCUUCCUUUGUUGCCUGGCAUAUGCUGGGUAUCAUAGGGACCACAAAAAAUGUAAGAUGUAGAUGCUGUCUUCAAACUGUGUUGAGUCUAGCUGGGGAGACAUAAGAUUGGAAUCUAUAUACAGAUAGCCCAGUAAGGCAAGCUAGGUCCAGUGGUGAAACUGAUAGGGUUUCACCAGCUGAGGUCCCCAAGGGUGAGAGAAUGUCAAAGAAGACUUCCUGGAGGAGGCAAGUUAAAGGGGAUUAUGGGUUGGGCAGGUGGACAGCUUCCUGAUCCACUAAUCAGAGGAACACUGAAACCACAGGGAUCCAUCAGAAAUCUGCUGCCUGUUAACUCAGGUUUCCACCUGCAGCUUCUCACAUAGCUGGUGGAAAUGAAAUUGGUGUCCCUUUUGCCAAAAUAGACAAUGCCCCUAAGUAGAAAGAAAAGCUACUCCUCCCCAGCACCAGCCUACCUCUGUGGGGGUAUUUCUGCAAUGUGCAUUGCAAGUUGCUGCAUCCACUGGCCAGUCUGGCUCUGAGAUCAGCCAGCUGGCAGCCUCUGCAGUGGGCAUGGCUGGGCAGCCUGAAUUCUGAAACCAAUUAAUGCACUGCAAAGGACGGUUUACCAAGAAGGUAUCUGCAAGCCUUAAAAAAUAUCUCCUAAAAAGUUGUCCACUUGUAGUCCCAGCUACUCGGGAGGCUGAGACUGGAGGAUUGCUUGAGGCUAUGAGUUUGAGGCUGUGGUGAGCUAUGAUUGCAUCAAUGCAUACCAGCCUGGGCAACCAAGUGAAACACCGUUGCUGUAACCACAAGCGCCUGAAAACAAG